ACUUCCUACUCCCAAGCCUCAGGAAAACGAACCCUGCUCAUCCUCCACCAGAACUCAAAACUCACCAGGUGCUCUUUUCUGUACAGACUGUCAAGCUAACUCUUAGUUUAUCAGUGCUCAGUCAUACCCUCUCCAGUGUGACAACCACUAACCUCAGACCGAAUCCUCAACCAAGCAGCAGCUCUUGGAACCAUCCUCUCAGGCUCCACGUCACUCCUCCACAGACCAACCUCCACUACAUUUCCUUUUGGCGUUUCCAGUCCCGGGCCCCAUUCCAUAAAUCUGACCAGCAAGAAAUAAACCUGUUAAACUUUC